GCCGAUUUAGCUCAGCUGGUAGAGCAGCUGAUUUGUAAUCAGCAGGCCGCCAGUUCAAGUCUGGCAAUCGGCU
rnacentral:tRNA from 1 species